rnacentral:rRNA from 1 species
UACGUAGGGUGCAAGCGUUGUCCGGAAUUAUUGGGCGUAAAGAGCUCGUAGGCGGUUUGUCGCGUCUGCUGUGAAAACUCAGGGCUUAACUCUGAGCUUGCAGUGGGUACGGGCAGACUAGAGUGCGGUAGGGGAGACUGGAAUUCCUGGUGUAGCGGUGAAAUGCGCAGAUAUCAGGAGGAACACCGGUGGCGAAGGCGGGUCUCUGGGCCGAUACUGACGCUGGAGGCAACGAAAGCCGUGGGGAGCAAACAGG